AAAGAAAUAGAAAUGUGCUCAAUUUGCUUUCAUCUUACACAAAUCGUGCUUCCAAUAUUACAAACCACGCUUUAUAAUCCAUAGUUUUUUUCUUUCCAAGUGGUCUCGUGUGGUGUGCUUUAAUUUUUCAGCUGAUAUCAUUCCAUGUGUUAUGAUUGCAUAUUUUUAGCUUACUAGCAAUUUAAUUUCUUUACAAAUAAUAUGUACACUUCCUGUCUACUAUGUCGCACCACCACUAGGUCAUGUCCCAGUACCUCCCUGCUCCAUCUACCAUGUCCGGCUAGCCUCUAAGACCUCCUUUUGUCGUCCAAAUCUAUGGGUGUUGACAUCGUGAUCCACAAGAGUCCGGCGUCGAGUGGCAAGGCUGACCCCAUCAAGGGGGACAACACACUUGACCUUCAACCACCGAGUGUAUCUUGCUACUUUCCUUUUGAAAUGAUGACAUUAAUAUGCUUG
rnacentral:lncRNA from 1 species